rnacentral:lncRNA from 1 species
UUUCUCUCUUUUGUGCUCGAUAUUUUGUCUUUUUUUUUGCCGUCGAGCAGCGGGCGCGCACAGAAAGGAGAGAAAAAGGGAAAACCCGGUCAGCGCACAUGGCCGCACGACGGCAGGCCACGAUGAACCUGGUGGCGUGUGCGACGGGGGAGCAAAAACAAUGAAGAGAGAACGAUAAAAGGCGGCCCGUUGAAGAAAAAAAAAAGAGAAAAACCUGACAACAGGGCAACCUUGCAAAAGACGCAGCGCGAGCAAGGAAAAAAAAGGCAGGGACAGAGACUGGAUGCGCCUACCUAGACACCGAGGCCGUCCCGUGUGCUCGCGGCGCGUUCUUGUUUGUAGACGCCGGUGACGAGGUGCGCGGUCGAACCAGGUGCGCCCCCCGACGCGGCUCUUUUUUCUCGGACGCACGCGUGCGCGCCCAUCCUCCCGCUGCCGCUCCUCUACGACCUCCAAAGACACGCGAGAACAAAGAUGCAUCACGUG